rnacentral:rRNA from 1 species
AUUGAACGCUGGUGGCAGGCCUAACACAUGCAAGUCGAGCGAGCGGCGGACGGGUGAGUAAUGUCUGGGAAACUGCCUGAUGGAGGGGGAUAACUAAUGGAAACGGUAGCUAAUACCGCAUACCAUCGGAUGUGCCCAGAGGGGAUUAGCUUGUUGGUGGGGUAACGGCUCACCAAGGAGACGAACCCUAGCUGUUCUGAGAGGAUGACCAGCCACACGGGAACUGAGACACGGUCCAGACUCCUACGGGAGGCAGCAGUGGGGAAUAGUGCACAAUGGGCGCAAGCCUGAUGCAGCCAUGCCGCGUGUAUGAAGAAGGCCUUCGGGUUGUAAAGUACUUUCAGCGGGGAGGCGUUACCCGCAGAAGAAGCACCGGCUAACUCCGUGCCAGCAGCCGCGGUAAUAC